rnacentral:rRNA from 1 species
CCUACGGGGGGCUGCAGUGGGGAAUAUUGGACAAUGGGGGGGAACCCUGAUCCAGCCAUGCCGCGUGUGUGAAGAAGGCCCUCGGGUUGUAAAGCACUUUCAGUGAGGAAGAACGCCUGGUGGUUAAUACCCAUCAGGAAAGACAUCACUCACAGAAGAAGCACCGGCUAACUCCGUGCCAGCAGCCGCGGUAAUACGGAGGGUGCGAGCGUUAAUCGGAAUUACUGGGCGUAAAGCGCGCGUAGGUGGCUUGAUAAGCCGGUUGUGAAAGCCCCGGGCUCAACCUGGGAACGGCAUCCGGAACUGUCAAGCUAGAGUGCAGGAGAGGAAGGUAGAAUUCCCGGUGUAGCGGUGAAAUGCGUAGAGAUCGGGAGGAAUACCAGUGGCGAAGGCGGCCUUCUGGACUGACACUGACACUGAGGUGCGAAAGCGUGGGUAGCAAACAGGAUUAGAUACCCGAGUAGUC